UGCGCUGGUACUCCAUCGCAGGCAAGCGACAUUAUUUCUUCAUCUUCUUGGUUGAUAUCCAGGAUGGCAACUUCCAGUGCAAAGCAAUUGUUUUGCUACCUCCAUAUAGGAGGACAAUUUAUUAAUGGUGUAGAAGGUGAAACGCAGUAUGUUGGAGGUGGUGUGAGAACAAGAAUGAUAAAGGAAGGGACAUCAUAUGGAGAAUUUAGAACAAUGGUGGCAUCAAUUGUGGGAAAAGAAAGUAAUGGAAUGGUUAUGAAAUUCACAGUAACCUUUGAUGAGUGUACAUUUGUGGACCUUGUAGAUGAUGAAGGAGUAGAACAUUUGAUUAACUUCAAUGGCGACAGUGGUCAUGUAUAUAUAGGAGAAAAUGGAGAUCAAAAUUCACAACUAACAAGGGAUGUUGUAAUAGAAGAGCAACAUGUGAUGGAAGACUUGUUCGGAGGUUCAGAUACAUUGUCCAUGUCUCCACCUAAUGUGGUUAGUGAAGACCCACUAUUGUUGCCAUGUGGUUCAGAAAUGAUGCCAACCCCAAUUCCGGAAAUG